rnacentral:rRNA from 1 species
AGAAUCAACGCUGGCGGCGUGCCUAACACAUGCAAGUCGAACGAGAAAGUGGAGCAAUCCAUGAGUAAAGUGGCGACCGGGUGAGUAACACGUGACUAACCUACCUUCGAGUGGGGGAUAACCUCGGGAAACCGAGGCUAAUACCGCAUAACAUCGCAAGAUCAAAGCAGCAAUGCGCUUGAAGAGGGGGUCGCGGCUGAUUAGCUAGUUGGCGGGUAACGGCCCACAAGGCGAAGAUCGGUAUCCGGCCUGAGAGGGCGCACGGACACACUGGAACUGAAACACGGUCCAGACUCCUACGGGAGGCAGCAGUGGGGAAUUUUGCGCAAUGGGGGAAACCCUGACGCAGCAACGCCGCGUGGAGGAUGAAGCCCCUUGGGGCGUAAACUCCUUUCGACCAAGACGAUAAUGACGGUACUGGUGGAAGAAGCACCGGCUAACUCUGCGCCAGCAGCCGC